ACCCGUGGGUAAAAGAUGCUGCAGAAUCUGGAUAUGACACCAUGUCCGAUCAGAGUCCACAGCAAGGACUUCUUAGCCCACUUGGUCCACAAGGUCCACUCAAAGUCUGCUGCAUCCUGAUCAAAACUCAUACAUUUAUAAUCACGGCAUUGAAGUCAUGUCUAAAAUAAGAACUGAGCAUACCCUUUUAAAACCUUGAAUAAGUCCGCUGUCCAGUUGAAAUUCUCUGUCUAAUCCCGCUUCGUGCUCUGAAACACAGGGCCCAAACACAAACAACUAUAUUUUCCUGUCAAAUCAACAAGACAGGGUAACAACGGCAUUAUCCUACCUUUUGAGAAUCUGUGAAGUUCAUAAAAAGAAUAGAGAUGAGAGCCAAAGGACAGCAGCCAGUAGAGAAGGAGCUCAGGCCAUGGCAACGGCGCUAACUGGACCUUAGGUUUGGAUGUCAUCUGGUAAAAAUCCCUUUGCUAUAGUGCACCUGCAAUAGGAUGAGUAACAUAAUAUGCACUCUAUUAACACCAAGAUACUCACUCAUACUCAUAUUUCUCCCUCUCAUGUAGCUUCCCUCUAAUGUAGCUAAAUAUAGUGUCGUAGUCUCAAUGUUAGAAACUGGCACUUCAGCGCCCAAGUUUGUUUUAGCGACCUUGUUGACAGAAGUAACAUUAGUAGUAUUACAUACAGCAAUGCUUAUUGGGAAGGUGCCAACCGUUGCUAGGUAACGUCCAAUGCUUUACGACAGUCAGGUUAGCGGUAAAGUCAUAGUAACGUCUUCGGUAGGAAAAAGUAAGAGCAAGAACAUUGCCGCAUGUCAUGUGGGCCAUCAGUAAAAUCUGCUUCUCUAAACUCGUCGGUUUCCCCAUCGUAGGGCACGCCAUCCACCUCCACAUGGAUGCUACUGGGCUCACUGCUGCCCACCCAACCAAUGGGCGUGCGGUUGAAGGAAGGUCGGAGGUUGAUGUCUUGCUGGUACACCACCGGGGGCUCGGCCACCACUUUGAUUUUUACAGUGUCUGGCAGCUGGAAUUUCAUGAGCUGGUUGGCCUUUUCAUAUCCGCCGUAGGGCAUGGCACUCCUAGCAAUACAAGCUGGCCUUCACCACCGUGUCCCGCUGCACCACUCGUUCCUCCAGCAACUCCUGCUGCGACUCCGCCCUUGCUUCCCGGCUUUGGAGGAGGCACGGGGGGCCCACGUCCAUACUGAAACACUCCGUAAUGCAGCUGCCCUACGUCCUUGCUGAGCAAAUGCCCACCCAGGUUUAUCGUCUGACUCCCCAUGUGACCACCCAGUGAGGGGACAAACCCCUGCAGGCACUCACCAUGGAGUCACUGCAGAAGAUGUCAGGAUUGUUCUCGUAGAUGAACUUCUCCACCCGCUGCUGCCUCAUCUUGAACAUCUUGGAGCCUUUGUUCUUGAGCAGCGAGAGCUCCUCCAGCAUGAUGUCCUUUGGUGUCCCGAUCUUUCUUCCCAAGUCGAACUCUGAUAUAUUUGGCACGAUCUCGUACUCUAGGACAAAAAGAGGACUGCAGAGUGGUGAAGAUGUAGACAUGUUGCUCUGAGUGCUCUCUGAUGCCCACACAAGCCACUUCCAGUCGACUGUGAUGGCCCGCAG